rnacentral:rRNA from 1 species
GACGAACCGUGCGAACGUUGUUCGGAUUCACUGGGCUUAAAGGGCGCGUAGGCGGAUCAACGAGUCCGGGGUGAAAUCUUUCGGCUCAACCGGAAAAUAGCCUUGGAUACCGUUGGUCUUGAGGGAGGUAGGGGCAUGCGGAACUUCCGGUGGAGCGGUGAAAUGCGUAGAUAUCGGAAGGAACGCCGGUGGCGAAAGCGGCGUGCUGGACCUCUUCUGACGCUGAGGCGCGAAAGCUAGGGGAG